GUUAUUUAGCAAGGGAAUGCAGAAUUUGAGGCAAUCGAUGUAGUCUUACAGGGCAAUCAUGUACUUGAAGUGCCAAAUGGCCACCGGAUGCAUGUCAGUUCUGGUGAUUCAGGUAUUUGGCUCUGCUGGUGUUAUUGGAAAUCCAAUGGGUUUUGUAAGAAAUGUUGGAGUUGGUAUCAAGGAUUUUCUCUCAGUUUCUAGCAAAGGAAUUGUGCAGAGGAAUUAACUAUAAACC